GGUAAUACCUGAUACGAUGGAGUUGUUAUGACAGCUUCAGGAAAGAUGCUAAGGCAUCGCCUUGAGAUGGGCCCGCGUCCCAUUAGCUAGUUGGUGGUGUAACGGACUACCAAGGCGAAGAUGGGUAGCCGGCCUGAGAGGGUGAACGGCCACACUGGGACUGAGAUACGGCCCAGACUCCUACGGGAGGCAGCAGCUAAGAAUAUUCCGCAAUGGACUAAAGUCUGACGGAGCGACGCCGCGUGGAUGAGGAAGGCCGAAAGGUUGUAAAAUCCUUUUGCAGACGAAGAAUAAGUGUGGUAGGGAAUGACCGCAUGAUGACGUUAGUCUGCGAAUAAGCCCCGGCUAAUUACGUGCCAGCAGCCGCGGUAACACGUAAGGGGCGAGCGUUGUUCGGAAUUAUUGGGCGUAAAGGGCGCGUAGGCGGCCUCAUAAGUCUGAUGUGAAAUCCCCAAGCUCAACUUGGGAACUGCAUUGGAAACUGUGAGGCUUGAGUCACGGAGAGGGAAUCGGAAUUCCUAGUGUAGGGGUGAAAUCUGUAGAUAU
rnacentral:rRNA from 1 species